ACCUGGUUUAAAGGCAGAAAGUCAAAGCGACCAUUUCAGCACCUUGCCCUCUGCAAAGUUAUAACAAAAGCCAGCCUCAGAGCUCAUAAAGGAUGCAGCGAGGCCAACGUUGAAGACAAAUUGCCGAAUUUUUAAAAUAUGCUCCAGGCAAGCAAGGUGGUUCAGAUUUAAGGUGCAAAAUGGCAACUUAUUGGAAUCGGCUUAAUUAGCAUUUUUGUAAAUAUGUAUAUUAAAACACUCACAGCAAAAUAGAUGAAUUAAAAGUUGAUUAUAAGGAAAUUAAACUUUAGUUCGUAUCAUUUGAAA